rnacentral:lncRNA from 1 species
CACAUCAUACUUCGUAAUAAUUAAUAUUUAUUUUAAUACUGUACUUUGUACAUAUUCAAGUUAAGUAGAUACUAUUUAUAUUUAACAUAUUGAAAUUCCCUACUCAUUGUUAAUGGAUCUUUUCAAUGUUGCAAUGCUGGAAUCUGCGUCGCAAGUAAGCAGUCAAAUCUGCUCUUUUGUGAUGAAUGAUCAAGUUAGAAGUAUCUUUCUUCGAUUUCCUCGAUCUAGUUUUGGUUCUAUCUAUUGGAGAACAUAUCUGAAGAGUUUUCGUAUUUUUCGUCUUAUCAAAAAUACAGACCCUCAUUUUCGCAGUUGUAAGUUAAGUUGUAUCUGGAUUUACCAAUAACAAAUAACGACUGCCUGAAUGGUCUCAAAGGGAGUCUUAGCUGCAAAUGGUUUACAAGGUGUUUGUCUAACAUCUGUUUCUUCGGGUUAACACUUGGGGAAAACAACCCUGAGCUGUCUAUCUUACGUACAAGUUGAAAAAAUUACAAUUGAAAGUGAUUGUUGAAUUUCCAUUCGUGCACUCCUUGACGUUGAGCACCUCCAGGACCACCAUCAGCAAAAUCCAAAACGUUAGGGAGGAAGAAGGUCUCUGUCAUAAAGGGCAAACUGGAUCCGUAGAAGUGAAAGAAAUCAGCCCAGACUAAUCACAAAACCUAUCUCUCAAAAAGUUUUGUCUUCUCUCUUAGAAAUGGUUUGCUGUUUUUGGGAAUUCGCUUUGGGGUACCCUUCUCUCUCCGAGCAAAAUUCCUGAAUGAGCUUCAUUUGUAUCAUUGUGGUUUGGUGAAAAUGAAGGCUGUUAUUCAUAUUGAUAUGGUGCCCUGGCAUUGAUGACGACAUCAGUAACUUCGUAUGGCGCAUGUAGCACAUGCAAAACCACUGCCUUGUCUUCUCUUGCCUCAUUCAAGUCUAAAUUCCGCCCUUGAAAAGACUCUGUUUGUGAAAGCAUACCUGUGGGGUGCAAAUUAUUUGACAAACGCAAAUUCAAAUGGAUACUGGGGAGACACGCUCCAUUACGCUCUUAGUACUUUACGUAUUUUACUAUGUUUUUCUUCUUUAAUCUUUUUAGUGUUGAUCUUACCUCCUGUUCAGAAGCAUUAAAUAAAUAAUUUUAAACUA